UUCGAUACAACACAACAUGGAAUACCAAAUAAAACGAACCGUGUAGCUGGUGCAGACUUGCAUGCAAUUUAAAUAGAACGUUGCGUGAAGAGGUUAGUUGCUACGCCUGAAACGCAUAAGCGCCUUUGAAGCGGAUCACCAUUCGUGACACCGUUACAUAAAGUCCGAGCAAUGAGAAAGGGUUCGACUUGCAAUCGGGAAUAUGAGUAGCAGACCAAAACGCUUCGAAUGGGAGGGAGAUGUUUACAAUCUAUCUCUUACAAUCAGGGUCAACGUAAUCCGUCGCGCUUCAAUUUCCGGUUACAUUGCCAAAGAACGUUAAUCUGAGGAUUAUUUGCAAUCGACUCGUUCACUUUGAUCCUGACCGUGGUGAAAGAAGGGCGCGAUCCUUUAGUUUGUUCCGUGGUGUAAUUGGCUAGCCUAGUUGUAAAUUGUGCGGUAGAGUUUUUGUGAGCUGUGCGACUUCUUGUGUGUUAAAGCCUAGACGACAAAGCCAUCGCCUGCACGCCAUCACCAUUGCUCGUCGCCAUCGCCAACCCUUGCCACGCUCUGGACUCAAGGUUUCCCGCCUUGACGAAGGCGGAAGGGAGUAGCAACCGUCUAACUGCACUCCAACCGGCGACCCCCAGUCAAACCCCGGCCGAUUGAGUCGGCCCGAACCGUAAGUGUUUCUAAACCUUCUUUUUUCCGGACCCGUUCGCGGUUCCGAGUGUGCUGUAGUCAGCGAAAAUAGGCGAACCGUCGUAAGCUCCAGUCGGAGUCCAUCGCAGUGGCCGAAAUGGCCAAUUAGAAUAAGUCGUCGCAUGCAAGACAAGUGAUAGAAGUAGAGAAAGAGUAGAAGACCGCACAAGCUAGGGAAGUGAAGGGGACUAAGUAGGCCGGCCCAGAGAUAUGAUUUGAAGCAA